UCUAUUUAAGAGCGGCCUCGCGGCAACGGGAGGAGGAUCUCUCUCUUCUCGCGCGUACCCUCUGGUUUUUUCUCUGCUACUGUGCUCUCUAAUGGCCGCAAGGAAUGGUGCAUGCGACGGAGUUCCGGAAGAGGUUUCGCGGAGCGAUUUCCCGGAGGGCUUUGUCUUCGGAGUCGCCACUUCGGCUUACCAGGUGAAACAGAGGAGGAGAAUGGCCUCUUCUAUUCUUCUUUCUCUGACGAUGACUCUUUCCGAUCUGUUUCUUGUUUUGUCUCAUGUGAAAAAUUUCAAUCUUGAAGCGAAACUCUGGAUACAUCUUUGAUGAUUGUCGAUUUUUUCUUUAAUGUAAAUUUUAAUGGUUUGGGGGCUUGGAUCUGGGAGAAAGGGCGAGUUUUGGAGUUGGCAUUUCGGGGAUUCCGUUUGUGAUGAAUUUUUGGGAGGAAUUUGUUUUUGAACAGACACCCACCCAAUUUUAUUAAAAGAAGAAGCAUUUACAAGUUGAAGCAAGAGAAGAGAUGAGGAAAAGGAAUACAGAAGAAGAAGAUGACGAACUCUGGGAAAGAGACCC
rnacentral:lncRNA from 1 species